UACGAAGGGGGCUAGCGUUGCUCGGAAUCACUGGGCGUAAAGGGUGCGUAGGCGGGUUUUUAAGUCAGGGGUGAAAUCCUGGAGCUCAACUCCAGAACUGCCUUUGAUACUGAAGAUCUUGAGUCCGGGAGAGGUGAGUGGAACUGCGAGUGUAGAGGUGAAAUUCGUAGAUAUUCGCAAGAACACCAGUGGCGAAGGCGGCUCACUGGCCCGGUACUGACGCUGAGACGCGAAAGCGUGGGGAGCAAACAGG
rnacentral:rRNA from 1 species